GAGGCUGUAUCUUUUGCAAGAACGGUACUCCCGGAGUAUUUUUGCAGCAAAUGGUGUAUAGAUAAGGCAAAUAUGCAAGGACAAAAAUCUGCUCAGAGCCUUUGUGGACCGAGACAGAAGG
rfam:Brevibacillus parabrevis strain CN1 contig_11, whole genome shotgun sequence.